rnacentral:rRNA from 1 species
CAGAGGUCCCGAGCGUUGUUCGGAUUCACUGGGCGUAAAGGGUGCGUAGGUGGUGAGGUAAGUCGGAUGUGAAAUCUCCGGGCUCAACCCGGAAAUGGCAUUGGAAACUACCUUGCUGGAGGAUUUGAGGGGGGAUUGGAAUACUUGGUGUAGCAGUGAAAUGCGUAGAUAUCAAGUGGAACACCAGUGGCGAAGGCGAAUCCCUGGAAAAUACCUGACGCUGAGGCACGAAAGCUAGGGGAGCAAACAGGAUUAGAUACCCUGGUAGUCCUAGCCCUAAACGGUGCUUGCUUGCUGUAAGAGGAAUCGACCCCUCUUGUGGCGGAGCUAACGCGUUAAGCAAGCCGCCUGGGAAGUACGGUCGCAAGAUUA